UACGUAGGGGCAAGCGUUGUCCGGAUUUAUUGGGCGUAAAGAGCGUGUAGGCGGUUUGGUAGGUCCGCUGUGAAAACUCGAGCUCAACCUCGAGACGCCGGUGGAAACCAUCAGACUAGAGUCCGGAAAGAGGAGAGUGGAAUUCCUGGUGUAGCGGUGAAAUGACGCAGAUAUCAGGAAGAACACCCGUGGCUAAGGCGGCUCUCUAGUACGGUACUGACGCUGAGACGCGAAAGCGUGGGGAGCGAACAGG
rnacentral:rRNA from 1 species